UGGUAUGGAUUCAAUUCUUUGCUCAAGUUGCUUAUAGACCUAAACACAGAAAAUCAAUGAUUCAUACUGUAAAUGUGUUGUCAAUGAAUAAUUAUACCUGGUGCAUAACCUCAGGGGAUUGAGAAUUGGGUUGAAGUGCCUUCAUGAGGGUAUUAAGCCGAGCUGCAGAAGUGAAGAAAAAUUCAUCAAAAACAACUGUGCAGAACAUUUCAUUGACAAAUUCAUCCUGCAUUGGGAUAAGAUGAGCAACCUAUUACACAAUGAAAAUUAUUUACUGAUGGAUCCCAAAACUAAAUUUGCUAGAAAAUUUCACCAAAGUAUGGAGGAAGGGAUCUUCAAAUGAUCUUUCACCAUGUCCUACAGCCAGCGUGCCUAGCACACGCGUUAGAGCCACUUUAUCUCUACUCCUUGCAACCUGAAACCAAGAAAUUAAUAUAGAAGCCAUUUCUGAUCUUCAAGCACUUCAAUCUUCAAGCACACGAUACCUGCAGGGUAUAAUACAUCGCCAGAACACAGGGAACACUACUUUCAGAAAUUUAUGCAGAUUUGCAGUAAACUAGGGAAUUCUUCACGAGUACCUGAAUGUUCAAUAACUGUCAGAGCCGAUUCACGCUCAUCACUGGGUAAUUUAGCAUUUAGAGAUCGAACUUGAUCGUCUACUAUCAGCGACAUAAGAGCUGGAAGAAACUUGGUUACAACUUGAGAAUCAAGUCGGGGUUCACGAAAUUCCUAUGCAAGAUUUUAAAGAAUUAAUUAUGAAUAAUGACUUUUGAAUCCCUGCUUACCUGUGAAUCUAUCAUUUGCCAUGCACUUAGUCCAAGAGAAAGCAUGCGUAAUAGUAAAAGCAGAAUAUGGUGUUCCCGAGGCAGGCUCUCCGACACGACCAAGUUAUGCAAAAUUUUUAAAGAUGAUGUAGCCAAAAAGUGGACGGCAUAAGGAUCGCACAACAUCAUGGAGAGAUCUCCAAGAACUUGCUCUUGACCACUUUUGAUACCAUCCAAAAACGCCUGAAUCUCUCGCGAUCGCUUCGUAUCCACGUUACGCUCUCUAAUGCAAGCGUCCACACACCAAGUGAAUUUGUGACAAGGAUCGACAUUAGUAAUUUCUUGAACUUCAGUUUCGUGUAGGGCCAUUAACAGUUCGGCACGCAAGGUACAGUAAUGAACAUUACGAGUACGCAAGAAUAAUGUCCUCAAGAAUUGUAAAACCAUGUCAUAUAGCCGAACGUUGUUUCCAAUCAUAUGCGCUAGCUUCUGGACAACUUCUCCUUGUCGGCGAACCUGAAAUUUUGGUAAUUAGCACUAUUUAAAUAUUCUCAAAUUGAUUCCAAUGGUUCUGUCGAAGGGAAACUGCAACGCUACCUUUGGAGAUGGUAGGAAAAACAAAUUUGUAAGAUUA